CCUACGGGAGGCAGCAGUGGGGAAUAUUGGACAAUGGGGGGAACCCUGAUCCAGCGACGCCGCGUGAGUGAAGAAGUAUUUCGGUAUGUAAAGCUCUAUCAGCAGGGAAGAAAAUGAAGGUACAUGACUCAGAAGCCCCGCCUAAAUACGUGCCAGCAGCCGCGGUAAUACGUAGGGGGCAAGCGUUAUCCGGAUUUACUGGGUGUAAAGGGAGCGUAGACGGUGCAGCAAGUCUGAUGUGAAAGGUCGGGGCUUAACCCCGGGACUGCAUUUGAAACUGUUGAACUGGAGUACAGGAGAGGCAGGCGGAAUUCCUAGGGUAGCGGUGAAAUGCGUAGAUAUUAGGAGGAACACCAGUGGCGAAGGCGGCUUACUGGACAGUAACUGACGGUGAGGCGCGAAAGCGUGGGGAGCAAACAGGAUUAGAUACCCUGGUAGUC
rnacentral:rRNA from 1 species